GAUGAACGCUGGCGGCGUGCCUAAUACAUGCAAGUCGAGCGAACGGACGAGAAGCUUGCUUCUCUGAUGUUAGCGGCGGACGGGUGAGUAACACGUGGAUAACCUACCUAUAAGACUGGGAUAACUUCGGGAAACCGUAGCUAAUACCGGAUAAUAUUUUGAACCGCAUGGUUCAAAAGUGAAAGACGGUCUUGCUGUCACUUAUAGAUGGAUCCGCGCUGCAUUAGCUAGUUGGUAAGGUAACGGCUUACCAAGGCAACGAUGCAUAGCCGACCUGAGAGGGUGAUCGGCCACACUGGAACUGAGACGCGGUCAAGACUCCUACGGGAGGCAGCAGUAGGGAAUCUUCCGCAAUGGGCGAAAGCCUGACGGAGCAACGCCGCGUGAGUGAUGAAGGUCUUCGGAUCGUAAAACUCUGUUAUUAGGGAAGAACAUAUGUGUAAGUAACUGUGCACAUCUUGACGGUACCUAAUCAGAAAGCCACGGCUAACUACGUG
rnacentral:rRNA from 1 species